UACGGAGGGUGCUAGCGUUGUUCGGAAUCACUGGGCUUAAAGGGUGCGUAGGCGGCGCGGAAAGUUGGGUGUGAAAUCCCUCGGCUUAACCGAGGAACUGCGCCCAAAACUACCGUGCUUGAGGGAGAUAGAGGUGAGCGGAACUUAGGGUGGAGCGGUGAAAUGCGUUGAUAUCCUAAGGAACACCGGUGGCGAAAGCGGCUCACUGGAUCUCUUCUGACGCUGAGGCACGAAAGCUAGGGUAGCAAACGGG
rnacentral:rRNA from 1 species